rnacentral:rRNA from 1 species
AGACUGGGAUAACAAGUGGAAACGCUUGAUAAUACUAGAUAUUAUAAACAUAAGGCAUCUUAUGGAUAUGAAAGGAUAAGAUUGCUAAGAGAGAGCUUUGCAUCCUAUUAGCUAGUUGGUGGGGUAAAGGCCUACCAAGGCGAUGAUAGGUAGCCGGCCCGAGAGGGUGAACGGCCACAAGGGGACUGAGAUACGGCCCUUACUCCUACGGGAGGCAGCAGUGGGGAAUAUUGGACAAUGGAGGCAACUCUGAUCCAGCAAUUCUGUGUGCACGAAGAAGGUUUUCGGAUUGUAAAGUGCUUUCAGUAGGGAAGAAGAAAGUGACGGUACCUACAGAAGAAGCGACGGCUAAAUACGUGCCAGCAGCCGCGGUAAUACGUAUGUCGCAAGCGUUAUCCGGAAUUAUUGGGCUUAAAGGGCAUCUAGGCGGUUAAUCAAGUCAGGGGUGAAAACUUACAGCUCAACUGUAAGCUUGCCUUUGAAACUGAAUAACUAGAGUGCUGGAGAAGUGGGUGGAACUACACGAGUAGAGGUGAAAUUCGUAGAUAUGUGUAGGAAUGCCGAUGAUGAAGAUAACUCACUGGACAGAUACUGACGCUGAAGUGCGAAAGCUAGGGGAGCAAACAGGAUUAGAUACCCUGGUAGUCCUAGCUGUAAACGAUGAUCACUGGGUGUGGGGAUGAAUAGUCUCUGUGCCGAAGCAAAAGCGAUAAGUGAUCCGCCUGGGGAGUACGUACGCAAGUAUGAAACUCAAAGGAAUUGACGGGGACCCGCACAAGUGGUGGAGCAUGUGGUUUAAUUCGACGCAACGCGAGGAACCUUACCAGGUCUUGACAUACUCGGAAUCUUUUGGAAGCAAAGGAGUGCCUUCGGGAACCGAGAUACAGGUGGUGCAUGGCUGUCGACAGCUCGUGUCGUGAGAUGUUGGGUUAAGUCCCGCAACGAGCGAAACCCCUAUCAUUAGUUGCCAUCAUUAAGUUGGGGACUCUAAUGAAACUGCCUGCGAAGAGCAGGAGGAAGGUGGGGAUGACGUCAAGUCAUCAUGCCCCUUAUGAUCUGGGCUACACACGUGCUACAAUGGGUAGUACAAAGAGGAGCGAAAUAGCAAUAUGGAGCAAAUCUCAAAAGCUACUCUCAGUUCGG